GCCGGUGUAGCUCAGGGGAAGAGCAACUGAUUCGUAAUCAGUAGGUCGGAGGUUCAAAUCCUCUCAUCGGCU
rnacentral:tRNA from 1 species